GCGAGUCUUAGUGAUUGUUCUAAGCUUGGCGUUUGAAGGCGUGAGGUCUGGUUUGCAGCUAACCUUUUCAUUGUGAUCUUUUUUACAGCCUGGGAAGGAGCACCACACAGGAAAGGGGCUGUGCAUUUCAACUAGUUCUACCCCCAGCUGUUAAGACACCGGGCAAGACGCCCAGGGAAACAAGGUUUUGCCUGUAAACUGAAAAGAAGAGCGUCGGGAGGAAAUACCAGGUUU
rnacentral:lncRNA from 1 species